UAAUACGUAGGGGGCGAGCGUUAUCCGGAAUUACUGGGCGUAAAGGGUGCGUAGGCGGCCUUUUAAGUCAGAUGUGAAAGGCUACGGCUUAACCGUAGUUAGCAUUUGAAACUAAGAGGCUUGAGUGCAGGAGAGGAGAGUGGAAUUCCUAGUGUAGCGGUGAAAUGCGUAGAUAUUAGGAGGAACACCAGUGGCGAAGGCGACUCUCUGGACUGCAACUGACGCUGAGGCACGAAAGCGUGGGUAGCGAACAGG
rnacentral:rRNA from 1 species